rnacentral:rRNA from 1 species
CCGCACAGUAAACGAUGAAUACUCGCGGUUGGCGAUACAGUGUCAGCCGCCAAGCGAAAGCGUUAAGUAUUCCACCUGGGGAGUACGCCGGCAACGGUGAAACUCAAAGGAAUUGACGGGGGCCCGCACAAGCGGAGGAACAUGUGGUUUAAUUCGAUGAUACGCGAGGAACCUUACCCGGGCUUAAAUCACAUACGAACGUUCCGGAAACGGGACGGCCGCAAGGCGUAUGUGAAGGUGCUGCAUGGUUGU